UCACUUUGCAUUUAUUAUAAUCACAUAACAUCCUUGCAAAUAAUCAAGACCCCAUUAGAUGAAGGAACAUGGAAACUAACACCAUAUAUUGAGGGGCCUGGGAUUCAUUUAACAUCAGCAAAUGACGUUGCAUUGGCAGAUAGUAGGCUUGGUGCAAAUUCCUCCGAAUAGGGCCUGCUUCCUGCACUCCCUGAUACACGCGUAAUCAUCAGUACAGGGGUUGAAUGGCAAAUCAACCUUGCAUAGCAUCUGUGCCGAAACACCCUCUGCAUCAAGUUUUGUCAAGCAUGAAUUAUGUGAGAGAAACACAACCUUCAUCUUAAGUUUAAAGAGAGAGAGAAAAGAGUUUAUUGGCACUUUGAUAGUAAAUUGACAGACUCUUAAAAUGACCAGAAAUUUGUAUGCACCCUUGAUUAUGAAUCUUAAACAACCAAAAUGCUGUAGAUUGAGUAAAUCUAUAAACAUUUGAAAUUCUUGAAAACAUCCUCAAUAACCAUCUAGUUGUAAUUAGAUGCAUCCUGAAAUUUCAAACUUAAAACAAAAAAGAAAAGCAAAACUGGAUCCCACAAUUACUUAUGCCCGUUGUUUCAAAGCCCGGAUCGGUAGGGCUGAUUGUUCACCCAUAGAUCUAUGAUGGAUCGUUACAUCGGACAUUCAGAUUCGGCUGCAUCUAUCCGAAUCGGUCAUCCAGAAGAAACACGGAUUUAAGGGGGGGAACCAGGCCAAGACCCAUACCAUCUUGGAAUUGCCCAAUCGAUUCCCAUCUCAACGACCUCGAUUGGAAAUUGCCCUAUUUUAAAACACCGCUUAUGCCUCCAAUAAACAUUGAUAUAAUGGCUUUAAAGAAGGGGAACUAAAAAAACGAAAAAAAAAACACAAGCAACAACUGAAAUAAUUAGGAAUCGGGCUUAGUACUUAGUACUUGAGUGGUAGCAAUUGUCAUUAGCGACAUUAUAUCUCAUUUUUUAUCACUAAACUGCUAAAAAUAAUGAAAAAAUUCACAAGCAAUAACACAAAAAAUUGAAAAAAAAGAAAAAACAAAAAAAUCGUUAAGAUUAAAAGUAAUUCAAAACAAGCCAACAUGAUGAGACCAAUCAUUUGUAAAAAAACCAAAAUGAUAAAUGAAGCACUACACAUAUGAAGGGUAGGCAUGAAAAGCUUACCAUAAGAGAGGACAAGCAUAAGAGUGAAAAAGAGGGGAACCAUCAUGCUUUGUGAGAAAAGAGAUUGUUUACAAUGCC
rnacentral:lncRNA from 1 species